rnacentral:tmRNA from 1 species
GGGGGUGACAUGGAUUCGACCAUUGGUCGUAGGAAAGCAUGGCAUGUCGAAGAUGACGGUUGGCUUCGCAAAAAUCCGUUAGAAUCAUAAAUGACAAAAACAUUAUGAAACUGAACUUCAGAAAUGAAGUUGCACUAGCCGCUUAGUUAUAAAGUGGCGCAUCCUCCGCGUGAUGCUUGAUAAUGCGGACGGAUGUGUUUAAUCAAGCGGGCGUUGUGAGUGUUUGCGGCGGACACAGCGUUCUAUUGCGCUGCAAUAGGUGAUUUUCAGCAUGCUGGUGUGCUAAUGUCGCCGAAAAUCAAAAAUCAGCUAAACAUGUAGAGGUGUUUUUUGAAAAUUAGUGGGACGCGGGUUCAACUCCCGCCACCUCCACCA